rnacentral:rRNA from 1 species
UACGUAGGCAGCGAGCGUUGUUCGGAAUUACUGGGCGUAAAGAGUGUGUAGGCGGUGCUCCCAGUCUGUUGUGAAAUCUCCCGGCUUAACUGGGAGGGUGCAGCGGAAACUAGAGUGCUAGAGGAUGGGAGAGGUAAGCGGAAUUCCUGGUGUAGCGGUGAAAUGCGUAGAUAUCAGGAGGAACACCUGUGGCUAAGGCGGCUCUCUAGUACGGUACUGACGCUGAGACGCGAAAGCGUGGGGAGCGAACAGG